rnacentral:misc_RNA from 1 species
ACACCUCAACCCUCCAGUGUUUUUUCAUUGAAGGCGUUGGUAGUGAGCGCUGCCGGAUUUUUGAAUCGGCUCGCUUUAAAAUCAUUAGCUGGAUCCAUUCUGACCUGGUUCUACUCGGCGUAAUAAGUUAUUAUCGUCGAGGACGCCUGGCCUUCUAGGCUGACGGCCACAGUAAGGGUGUUUGAACCGCUUCUAACGCGUCUUGCUCUUGUAGCAAACACUUGAAC